GACGAACGCUGGCGGCGUGCCUAAUACAUGCCAGUAGAACGCUGAAGAGAGGAGCUUGCUCUUCUUGGAUGAGUUGCGAACGGGUGAGUAACGCGUAGGUAACCUGCCUUGUAGCGGGGGAUAACUAUUGGAAACGAUAGCUAAUACCGCAUAACAAUGGAUGACACAUGUCAUUUAUUUGAAAGGGGCAAUUGCUCCACUACAAGAUGGACCUGCGUUGUAUUAGCUAGUAGGUGAGGUAAUGGCUCACCUAGGCGACGAUACAUAGCCGACCUGAGAGGGUGGUCGGCCACACUGGGACUGGGACACGGCCCAGACUCCUACGGGAGGCAGCAGUAGGGAAUCUUCGGCAAUGGGGGCAACCCUGACCGAGCAACGCCGCGUGAGUGAAGAAGGUUUUCGGAUCGUAAAGCUCUGUUGUAAGUCAAGAACGGGUGUGAGAGUGGAAAGUUCACACUGUGACGGUAGCUUACCAGAAAGGGACGGCUAACUACGUG
rnacentral:rRNA from 1 species